rnacentral:rRNA from 1 species
CACAGGUGCUGCAUGGCUGUCGUCAGCUCGUGUCGUGAGAUGUUCGGUUAAGUCCGCUAACGAGCGCAACCCUCGUCGUGUGUUAUACGUGUCACACGAUACUGCCGGUAUCAAGCCGGAGGAAGGUGGGAUGAUGUCAAGUCAGCAUGGCCUUUAUACCCUGGGCUACACACACGCUACAAUGGCAGAUACAAUAGGUUGCGAAACCGCGAGGUGGAGCCAAUCCUCAAAGUCUGUCUCAGUUCAGAUUGUAGGCUGCAACUCGCCUGCAUGAAGUUGGAGUUGCUAGUAAACGCAGGUCAGCUAUACUGCGUUGAAUACGUUCCCGGGGUUU